UACAGAGGGUGCAAGCGUUGUUCGGAAUUACUGGGCGUAAAGGGCUCGUAGGCGGCCAACUAAGUCAUACGUGAAAUCCCUCGGCUUAACCGGGGAACUGCGUCUGAUACUGGAUGGCUUGAGUUCGGGAGAGGGAUGCGGAAUUCCAGGUGUAGCGGUGAAAUGCGUAGAUAUCUGGAGGAACACCGGUGGCGAAGGCGGCAUCCUGGACCAACACUGACGCUGAGGAGCGAAAGCCAGGGGAGCAAACGGGG
rnacentral:rRNA from 1 species